rnacentral:rRNA from 1 species
AUGAACGCUGGCGGCGUGCCUAACACAUGCAAGUCGAACGGAUUUUUGGAUGUAGCAAUACAUUCAAAAAUUAGUGGCAAACGGGUGAGUAAUACAUAAGUAACCUGCCCCUAAGACUGGGAUAACUUUUCGAAAGGGAAGCUAAUACCGGAUACGCUCUUUUUUUCGAUGGGAGAUUAGAGGAAAGGUUUACUACUUAGGGAUGGGCUUAUGCCUGAUUAGCUAGUUGGUGGGGUAAUGGCCUACCAAGGCGAUGAUCAGUAGCUGGUCUGAGAGGAUGUACAGCCACACUGGGACUGAGAUACGGCCCAGACUCCUACGGGAGGCAGCAGUGGGGAAUAUUGCGCAAUGGGGGAAACCCUGACGCAGCGACGCCGCGUGAGUGACGAAGUCUUUCGGGAUGUAAAACUCUGUCAAGAGGAACGAUACUGACGGUACCUCUGAAGGAAGCCCCGGCUAAAUACGU